UAUUAUAUUAUUGCAAUUAGAUAAACUUACAAAAGAUUACAAACAAAAAGUUAAUGUUGUUGAUCCAAAUCUUAGCAAAAAAUUGUUUAUUCAGUUGGUAUGGGGACAGACAUGCAAUUUGAAGACAACAUAUAUGCGCUAGUAUAUGCGUAAUUAAAAUGACGACGAAAAUAAGUUGUUUUGAAAACGAGGUUUGUGACCAACGUGCAAUAAUUGCUCAGGCCCGGAAUUUGUGUUUGAGUGACUGCAAAUGUUUUAAUACCCGCACACCGGAAACCCACUGCUACGGUUACGUGCCGGUUGUAAGGAAAGACGAGCAUCAUCGCCAACGUAAAUUUUUGCUUCUGGCCACUGAACCUUCCCAUCAACAACAAACUUCCACAUGAUUCCGCCAACGAUACAAAGUGCCAACGAAUAUGCUUCGAAAUGAGAUAGUCAAGUCACGCGAUGACUACAAAGUUCGGAAAAAUUUUUCCCGAGCGGAGAACAUGAACAUGAUGCAAAAUGAGCCUAUUGGCAGCGACGGCCAUCGAAUCGAUUGGCAGAAGCAGAUUUUCCCCGCACUUUGCACGAUAGUCAUCAAUUCGAACAAUUUCAAGGUACGGAUCAAUUCUGCAGCUGCCCUUUCGGUAAUCAAAUUUGAAGCUCUCUGUUGACCGCACUAGAGCAGUCGGAUAAUCUUAUUGACUACAAUGAGUACAAACACAGAGAUAAUCUGCAAGAGCAGCUUUGUCUGUCACUUUCGCACUUUCUUCGACUGACAACGCGGGACGACCUGGUGGCAAUGAGCAACGAAUUACUUCCUUUGUUCGAUACGGUGCGCCAGAAUUGGGACCGGGUCAUCAACCGGAUAUUGCCGGAAAACGCGGUCAAACUGUUUGAAGCACACGUCAAACUGAAAGAUUUAUAACCGACGGUCAGAAAUGCGGAAACACGUGGUGCCGUUGAAAUGAUUUUGAACUGUUUCGCCAGUG